rnacentral:tRNA from 2 species
AGGGGUGUCGUCAAGUGGUAAGACAGCAGAUUUUGAUUCUGCCAUGCGCAGGUUCGAUCCCUGCCACCCCUGCCA